GCUUGAGAGACAGGAUGAAGUUCAUGGAGGCUAACUUACUAACUUCAGCUAUCAGCUCUAUGACGGUGAACCUAGCGCCAAAACUUCCCUCGAGCCUUUCUUCAACAGGCACCGUAGACGAAGUUAAAUAGGAGGAUGGUAUACUCGAGGUGAUUACCCUCGCUGGGACUGGGCUGGCCUCUCAAACCGCAGAGGGAGCAGAAUAUUUGUCAGUCCCUCCGGGGUUUACACCAUCCAGCCCCAGAGGACUUGGCCGCUUGUGGCAUGUAGGGCAGGGGGCAGCAUCGGUGAAAAAGAAUCCACUGCCAACCUGUCCAGUGGGAAGAGGCCUGUUCUUUGGAAACCCUCCUUUAUGUUGGACGCUGUCCCAGCCUUGGGAUAGGCCAUUUUAAAUACGGUGGGCAACUGCCGCUUUCCCAUCACCAGAUCUCCCCAGAUGCUAGGGUACUGAGCGCUGUCUUCAGUGGCCCAAAGACAGACAGGUCUGGUGGCUACAGGAGAUGGAUGGUGUUGCCCAAGCAGAAGUCUACUGCCUCCUUCGAGACUGUCCAUGUACUCCUUCUCGGACAUGCCAUACUGUCUUGGGGUCCGUCCAGGACAUAGGAGGCACUGGGGAGGCAUGUGGGGAAAAUAAUAAAGGGUGGAAUGCUUUGCCCAGUUGCACUCGCACAACAGUGUACUGUGAUGUGUUCCCUGGCGGUCACCUGUUGUGCAGACACAUACCAUUGCCCUUUUCCGCACCAUGCACCCCUUUCUCUCUGAAAUGUAAAUACUCUAGUCAGUUUUUAUGUUUAAGGUUUUGUUCAGUUGCUUAUUGAUUUAGCAUAGGUUGUCAGUUAUUGUAUGCUGUACAAAGUUGUAUAUGUUGAUGUAGUAACUCUAUUGUAACAAACAGAGUUGUUUUUAUUAAAAUGUUGUUGUCAUUGUGACUCAUGGUCCCAGGGGCCCUCUGCAUG